CCACGCCGGCCGGGCGGUUGCCGUGGCAACGGAAGCAUCCUUGGGCGCGGAGGUUUCCGGCGAAGUUCAGGGGAAUACAAACCCUUUCACAUUUUCUGCACCCCGGCCUAGGGUGCUGCAUCACCGAUGACGGUCUCCGAGCUGGAAGGACCCUUCGAGACUAAUCCCAGUUCUGUGACCAGGAAACUAAGUGCCAGAGAAGGAAAGGGAUUUUGUCCGGAGCCACCCACGUUCAGGUUACUCACAGGAUUUCAAAUUUCACCACGACCCUGUGAGAGGCGAAUAAGGAUUGCCAGCCACAUUGUGCAGGUCAUGAUCUGAGGGUGGUGGAAUUGAGCCCCGCCUAGGAAUCAGCGGG